GGACGGGACGGGACGGGACGGGAACGGUCCAGGUUCGCACGGCGGGAGCGUCCCCGCACCUGCUAUCCCGUAUGCGCUGCGCCCAGAGCAGCGCUGCCGCUGCGGAGCCCUAAGCAAAGCCAAGCGCCCUCCGCCGCCCCCGGGGGGCUGCUGGCGGGCCAUGGCGGUGGCAGGCACCGAGCUGCCCGGCGGCAACGUCAGCGCCAACCAGAGCGCCGCCGACCCCACGGUGUCGCGGGACGUGUGGAUGGUGGGCAUGGGGAUCCUCAUGUCUCUGAUCGUGCUGGCCACCGUCUUCGGCAACGUGCUGGUGAUCACUGCCAUCGCCCGGUUCCAGCGCCUGCAGACUGUCACCAACUACUUCAUCACCUCGCUGGCCUGCGCUGACCUGGUGAUGGGGCUGGCCGUGGUGCCCUUCGGCGCCUGCCACAUCAUCAUGGAGAUGUGGCAGUUUGGGAACUUCUGGUGUGAGUUCUGGACCUCCUUGGAUGUGCUCUGUGUCACGGCCAGCAUUGAGACCCUCUGUGUCAUUGCUGUGGACCGGUACUUCGCCAUCACUUCCCCUUUCAAGUACCAGAGCCUGCUGACUAAGAGCAAGGCGCGCAUAGUUGUCCUCAUCGUGUGGGUGGUCUCAGCCCUCACCUCCUUCUUGCCCAUCCAAAUGCACUGGUACCGGGCAGACCAUGCAGAGGCCAUCCAGUGCUAUGAGAAGGACACAUGUUGUGACUUUUUCACCAACCAAGCCUAUGCCAUUGCCUCCUCCAUCAUCUCCUUCUACGUGCCACUCAUCAUCAUGGUAUUCGUGUAUGCCAGGGUCUUCCAGGUGGCCAAGAAGCAGUUGCAGAAGAUAGACAGGAGCGAGGGGAGGUUUCACACCCAGAACAAGGAGCAGGAGCAGAAAGGGGGAGCUGGGUACCGCCGUGCCUCCAAGUUCUUGAAGGAGCACAAGGCCCUCAAGACCUUGGGCAUCAUCAUGGGCACCUUCACGCUGUGCUGGCUGCCAUUCUUCAUUGUCAACAUCGUGCACGUCAUCCAGGACAACAUCAUUCCCAAGUACGUGUACAUCCUCUUGAACUGGCUGGGCUAUGUCAACUCUGCCUUCAACCCUUUGAUCUACUGCCGGAGCCCGGACUUCAGGUACGCCUUCCAGGAGCUCCUGUGCUUCCGCAGGUCUGCCCUGAAGAUGUAUGCCAACGGCUACUCCAACAGCAACGACAGGGGCGACUACAACGAGGAGGAAAACGGCUACCCCCUGGCACCGGAUAAAACCUGCGACUUGCUCUGUGAAGAGGGUUCCUUCCCUCACCCCGAGGACUUUUUGCACUGCAAAGGUACUGUGCCUAGCGGGUAGGGUACUGUGGGCUCUGAUGUGGCACACAGUGGUUGUACAGAGGAGUCUUUCUAAGGAAAAUCAACUUCCUCCCUUAAUAAUAAUAGUGAUCCUCUUCUAGAGCGCCCCUAAAAUCUAAUGGCUGCGAGAAACCCCAAACUCAAGCCUUAUGCAAGUGGGGGCUGGCUCCGGCUAGGGCAGGUGGGCUGCUGGCGGCCUCCCUGGUUAGGGGCACGACCAAGGGUCCCUUAAGUGGGGUCAGAGAGAUGAGUCUGUGCAGAAUGCACGUUCUCGGAAGGAGUUUCUGGCCGCGGCCGGUGUUGAACUACCUCAUGACCUUGCUGUGAGCAGCCGGUGGCUGCUGCGGGAGAGCCGUGCGGGGCGGCGGGAGCAGGGCUGGGGCUGGACCCCCCCUGCCCCGGCGGCAGCCCCGCAGAGGAGCCGGGCGCCUCGCGGGACUCCUCCUGAUUCUCUUCUCUUAACCGAGUCGGUGGCCGUGGGAAGCCCCCCCCGGCCAGGUGGGCAUCUCGGGCGGUGGUGCCAGUGCUGUCCAGCCCGGGGGACUGUGCGGAGGUGGCACUCUGCGGCAAAAUAGCGGGGAAGGGAUGCUGGGAGUGGGGCUGAGCGCGGGUCGCAGGGCUGGGUCACGGCCGCGGCUGUGGUCGGCAGUGGGACAGUUUUAUCAACGCCCAGAAACUGCGAAUGCUUUUUUUGCCAAGCGCUAUAGGACUUUCUGCGGAAAUAAUAAUAGGAAUAAAUGGACUAUUUGCUUAAAAUGUGAGCCUGUGACUGUGGGACUCAGGAAUGUUAUACUGGGAAGUCGGGUGACAUGCUGCUGCAACCACAGACCAUCGUUCUGCAUCCAACCAAAAGCUUUUAAAGCACCCAGUUUGUUUAACUACAAGUCUCACAGGACAGUGAGCCCGAGGGAAGGGGAGGAGGGUUUUUAUUUUCCAUGGCAUCCAGCUCAGCUCCCACCGUGGGACGGCUGCAGAGAUCCCUGGGUGUCCAGGAAUGGUCAAGAGUUGAAUGGACCAACCUCUCUUCCUCACCAUCCUGAGCUCAUGAGGGCUCUGAAGAGAUUGAGUGGGAGCACAGCCUUGCUUCCCUGAGCCUGGGGAUGCUGUGGGAAGUGAUUGCAUUGGCAAAUGUCUUCAUCCUAACCCAUAGCCCAUCGUGCAUCACCUGAAGAAGAAGCUGGUGAAAGAUAACCAGGGGACCAGGAAAGGCUCUGCUGGCCUUGGAGGACACCACCGGGGGACUGGCACUAUGAGAGGCACUUUGCAGGAGUCACUGCUUGUGGAACCAGCUCUGGAAAGAGGCUACAGGAGCCCUGUGAACUGAAGGAGAGGGAUGUCUAAAUCAUGAUAAAAGGUAGAGAGGUUUCCUGCGCACAGCAACCUUGGAAAGCACUUUCAAAAGGGGAGUACCCGGACCACGUGGUCAGCUCCAGUGUCUGAUUUGGAAGAGGCACAGCAAGGUCACUGCCUUAUGGUCAGAUCAGGAGACCAGCAGGAUGCCUGUUCGUGUGCUGGUCGGGGAUCCAGAUGAAACAGGAAUCUGUCCAAGACCAAGAGAGAAGAAGUGUGGAAGAUUGCUUUGACUUACUCUGUGCUUGUUUCUCCUUCUGGUGUCUUCUCUGUCUACUUCUUCUUCUCUGUAGGCCCAUAUACAUCAUGUGGGGCCCAGACUCUCACAAACAAGCAGAAGGAUUGGCACAGGGCAAAUCCUGCCCAGUGCAGAUGCAAUGUGGCCUUUGUUUGCUCCUUGUGCCAACAAAUGUGCAACUGUCAUGCCUGGACUUCAGACAGGAGAAAGGCUGGAACCUGACAGUUGUUUCACUUACAAGCAGUCACAUUCUAGCAUGACCAGCCACCCUUGGGAGCCAAGUUGUAACACCUGAGCCUCAAAACAUCAUAGAGCAUCUGUCCCUCUCCUGCAGCUGUGGGAAGGAGCAUAUGGACAGGCUGCAUGCUCAGCUCCUGCUUCUUGGAUUGGGAAAAACUCAUUAAGCAGUGAAAGACACAGAUGUGGAGGGAGUGACGGAUCUCAGGCAGAAAACAGUAGGAAAAACUGAUUAAAAACCAUAGGAAAAUGUGCACCUUUGACUUGCAGGUGGUGCCCCAGCUGUGGACUGUCAUGCCCAGCUGGGCAGCUGCAGAUGUCUGGUCACUGAGCUGCUCCCAGAGGCCUGGGCAAAACAUGCUGGUACCAAACUGUGCCGGGAGCCCCAUCUCAGACCUUCUCUCCUGGGCUUCCAGCUGCAAACCUCUUCCCUCAUGUGCAAUUGUAUUUAUUUAUUUAUUUUCUUGCUGCUUGAUGUGAAGCUGCUAAAUGAGCCACCUCCCCACAAACACCCUCAGCCAAGAGAGGAUGGAGGGAGGGGGCCUGUGGUGUGUCUGUGCAAGGAGACUGGGAAGAGGGGCAGGAGAGAGGGACACCUUCCAGGAGUAACCUUCUAGUGGAAGCUGUCCUUGUCCAUGGUGGAGAGGUUGGACUAGAUGAUCUUUAAGGUCCCUUCAAACCCAAACCAUUCUGUGAUUCUAUGAUAAACCUUGAACAAGAUGCCUCAUCCCCUGGAGGUGUUCAAGGCAAGGUUGGAUGGAGCUCUGAACAACCUGGUGUAGCAGAAGGUGUCCAUUCUAUGAUUCUAUGAUGUGGACAUGCCUACAGAGGGAGCAUACAAGGCAGGAGGAAAAGGCUGCAGUGAAACCCCAGUCUCCCUAGGGUGCAAUUUUGCUCUGUCAAGAACUAAGGACAAGCUGGGUAGAGCUUUGUUGGGAAGGACAGCAGGACAGCUGCAGCCUGCAUAAGCUUGGGAAUGUUCCUGUAGCCAAAUGUCCUCCAUGCAUCUGUGCUUGUGCAGGACAUUGUGCGAGUUGCUCACCCAGGUUGUGCCCUCCCAGCACUCCCUGAAGCAAACUUACAGUUUCUACACUUGCAGGAGGACAUAUCCCCAGCCAGGCAAGUUUUCACCAGUGUGUUCACUGAGGUUAUUAAACUAGGUAUUAACCUGGCAGCUUUUUCUGCUCUAGACAUCCAUCACAGACCCAUUUGACACAGCCAGUUUGAGACCAGCCUCUCGAGGCAGGGCUGUAGCUGUGCUGUAGUGGUUCAUGCUCAGCCUUGGCUGUUCCUACCCUUCUACCCCUUUUGCCUAAAAACUGGCACACCAGCAGCAUCCACUCAUGGUCAGAUAUCCCAUUUUAUGGAAAGUCUGUCUGUCCCACCACAGAGGGGAAAAAUUUCUCUGGGAGAGGGCGGCUGUCCAGUGCCCUGCUACUCUCCCACAGCUCCCACGCUCAGGAGGGACCAGGAUACACUGACAUCCCUUGGUGCAUCUCCCAGCUGCUCCAGGAAAGCCUGGCUUCUCCCAUACCCUUCCCUCUGAGACGCCCCAGCAAGGCUUUGUCCAAACCUGUGUGGCUGCUGACUGGAAAUAUUUCCCAACAAAACCUGUUCCUCCUAAGAUUCUUGGCUGGUUCUAGUCACUUAUUAUGUACUGGAAACACUAUCCGUGGGAUUAGUUUUCAGGUUAGAGACAUGCAUGUAGUUCUUUUUCUCACAAAUCCCCUGAUGUGCAAGAGCAGGUUGCAGCAAGUGGAAUGGAUGCACUUGCUCUGAUCAUUUGCCAGCAUGGCCCAAAAGCAGUGACCUGCUCAUUGCUGAUCAUUGGAGACAGAAGAGGUGUAUUACAAAUCCAUCUGCCUCUGACCCUUCAGGCUUGUUCCAUAUAUUACUUACUGGUGGUGUGCUGGGUCUAUUUUUAAAUGCCCUGACACCAGGGUUAUUGUGCUGUCCUUUGGGAGACUGCUCUGUGCUCCAAGUGAGGAGCUGCUGUUAGUUUUCCACCUGUAUUUUCUCUUGAAAACUUCAUUCCAUUAUUCCUAGUGAUGCUCUUCAAAUACCUGCUGUUCAUUAUGUUCUGCCACUUGACCUGCACUCUUCUUUCCCUUCCAAGAACAUCUCUGGCUCCCUGAUCACUGCUGCUCCCUGUCCUUCCCAUGGCUCGGCAUAUGACGAGCCUGUUCAUUAAUUCAGCCAUGCUGAGUUUGUCAGGGAUAUGUACCCACCACUGGAGCAGCCAGGAGUUCUGGCAACACCCAGUCUCCCAAGCAACUGUGGUGCUUCUCUCUCCCUCAUUGAGAAGCUUGUGGGGUGCAGGGAAGGGGCAGACACAGAGAUGUGUCCAAAAGCCAAUCAGUGUUGGCAGUGAGCACCUGUUUCCCAAGAUAUACGGAAGAAAUUCUUUACUGUGAGGGUGGUGAGGCCCUAGAACGGGUAGCCCAGAGAAGCUGUGGCUGCCCCUUCCCUGCAAGUGUUCAAGGCCAGUUUGGGCAGGGAUCUAAGCAACCUGGUCUAGUGAAGGUGUCCCUGCCCAUGGCAGGGGGUGGAAUGAAAUGAUCUUUAAGGUCCCUUCCUAGCCAAACCAUUCUGUGACUCUGAUCCCAUGGGAAGUGACCCCUGUUAGGGACAGCGCACAGCCAAGCCCCCAUCUCAGCAACAGCUCUCUGCAAGGAGGGAGCCCCACACCCUGUGAGCGUGGGGGGGUUGGCAGGCUCAGUGCACGUGGAGAGCUUGCGUGGGGAUCCUGUGUGUGCAGAACUCAGCUGGAGCACCAUCGUCAUUGUAAGAGCUCUGUUCUUCUCACUGAACAAAUUGUUCCGACAAAUAAAGAAUGAAAAGUC